rnacentral:rRNA from 1 species
CUACGGGAGGCAGCAGUGGGGAAUAUUGCACAAUGGGCGCAAGCCUGAUGCAGCCAUGCCGCGUGUAUGAAGAAGGCCUUCGGGUUGUAAAGUACUUUCAGCGAGGAGGAAGGUGUUGAGGUUAAUAACCUCAGCAAUUGACGUUACUCGCAGAAGAAGCACCGGCUAACUCCGUGCCAGCAGCCGCGGUAAU